CCUACGGGAGGCAGCAGUGAGGAAUAUUGGUCAAUGGGCGCUAGCCUGAACCAGCCAAGUAGCGUGAAGGAUGACUGCCCUAUGGGUUGUAAACUUCUUUUAUAUGGGACUAAAGUGCAGUAUGUAUACUGCUUUGCAUGUACCUUAUGAUUAAGGAUCGGCUAAUUCCGUGCCAGCAGCCGCGGGAAUACGGAGGAUCCGACCGUUAUCCGGAUUUUUUGGGUUUAAGGGGAGCGUAGGGGGGUUGUUAAGUCAGUUGUGAAAGUUUGCGGCUCAACCGUAAAAUUGCAGUUGAUACUGGCAGCCUUGAGUACAGUAGAGGUAGGCGGAAUUCGUGGUGUAGCGGUGAAAUGCUUAGAUAUCACGAAGAACUCCGAUUGCGAAGGCAGCCUGCUGGACUGUAACUGACGCUGAUGCUCGAAAGUGUGGGUAUCAAACAGGAUUAGAUACCCUUGUAGUC
rnacentral:rRNA from 1 species